UAUCCCACCCCCAGGCCUGCUUUCUCCACAGGGAUGARGGCAGGACAGUGAUGGAUACUCUCCUGGUGGGUUGUCACUCGUCAUGCUGGCCUGGAGGUGUGACUGCAUGGACCACAGGCUGGACCACAAGGUUGGUCACGCAGGAUGUGAGUCACUUGAAGGAUUUGUGCUGUCCUGACAUGGAACAAACAGGGAUAGUGAGUCAGGAGUGGCCUGGGCAUGCCAUGGUGGAGCACCAGAAAUAGCCUCAGGCUCCAUGGAGGGGCUGCUAACGUGGGGACAACAGGAAUUUCAGGAUCCUGACAAUGUGGAAGGGGGUGGCAGAGCUCCAGAUGGGGUUCCCCRUGGUACGAGGUGGAGCAGACUUUGAACCUGUGCUGCUUUUAGAGCUGAAAUGUUUCCCUGUCUGUCUGCUGGCCCAGCAACACCCUUGCUGCACUGAGGAGCCUCCGACUGUGAUCCAUGCUCAGAGAAYCUGCCAGGGCCCAGAGCAAGAUUAAUGUGUCUGGGAAUUUCCUGGCUGGCUCAGUAUUACUGGUAAGAUUUUUUUUUUUUUUUCAUUUUUCUCCAUUCAGAAGAAUAAGUUUUUUCAAGACCUUUCUGUGACUGUGCCAUCCUCAGAACGGGAAUAUGGAAAAUGUCAAGUGCAAUACAAGAACCCUUAAUGCUGAUAAAACUGUUCUGAUUGGAAAUAAAGUUUUGCUUUAAAAGUUUUGACCUGUUUUAGGUAAGAUACUGGAAUUAUGGGACUGACUUUAAAAACUCCAAAUUUAGAAAGAAAAGCUGUUUUCUGGGUUUAAACCCAUUCAUUGCUCUGAUAUGRGGCAUUUUCAAGGUUACCUUUGCAGUCACAGGAGACAGAAUACUUUUCCCAUGCUGAGACAUGGAAGCAAUAAUGGAUACAGUCCUGGGAAAUGCCACAGGARCUCUUGGGAGCUGUGGCAGUGUGGUUUUGUUUAUAUUUACAAAUUAGUUGGAGUGGUUCUUGGCACUUGUUUGCAUUUAGCUUAAGAAUAAUCAAUACUGUCCAAAUGGCUUCCUAAUAACAACAACCCACAGCCACUGUCAGAUCUAAAUCCCAAUAUUACACUGCAAAGUAGCUGGAGAAUUUGCUAUUGCCUUAAAUAAAAAUGACAUUUUCCCAAACCAAGCUGUAAUCAGUGAGAAUUGUUGAUUUUCAAGACUUUUAAAACUGAGCCAAUAAAACAUGCUGUAUGUUACCUUAUCUACACUUCAWGCAUCACAAAAAGCAUUGACAUCUCUCAAACAGAAUGAUUGUUUUUUUUAAACACAGUGAAAUGAGAAUGUAUCCCUGCAAAUUUUGCAUUUGGAAAAGAAUGAUUUCUUGAAUMAGAAUAUUGUAAAACCAAUCAGAGAGAAAAGUGCUGCUAGGAGGAGGAUGUUGCAUAAGGUGUCUGAGAUAAAGGUUUUACUGUUUUUCAUGUUCUCAUAAAAUUUUACUGAAAUGGARGAUUUUCUCUUUAAAUGUUCAUUGUUAUGCACAUGCUUUGCAGAGAUAAUAGCUACCUUUGCCUAAUCCUCACGGGCUGAUUUGAAUACAGAAUUUGGAUCAUUCUCCAGUUUCUUUGAACCUGGGGGAGGAAUAUCAGUGUUAGUUCCAAAAGAGUUGGUGAGUUUUAAGUUUCCCCAGACAUCAGAGAGAUUUUAGUCCAUGACUGAAAUCGACUACAAUAUUUAUCUAUUGGCUUUAAUUUUUAAACAUCCUCCAGGAUCAGAACGUGAUUUGGUUUUCAAAACAAUUUGAAUUUUUCAAUCUCAAUUUAAAUUUUUUUUUUUAAAUGCAAGAUUUUUUCUUUCUUUCAGCACAACUUAUAAAUGUACUUAGCAUGUGUGAGCACCUUCUGUAGCGAAUGGGAAAUUUUUUUUUAAGGCUGAUUUUUACAGUAACACAUUCUGUGCUGGAGAAUUUGCUCUGCUGGGUUCAGGGAGCUGUACAACCCAACAAACUAGUGUUGUAAGGAGGUACCAAAAGGGUGCUUUGUCACAUUACAGGUGUCAGAGUUCAGUCCUCAUACUGAACGAGUAUUUUGAUUAUCUAAAGUGGAGUCAAGAUGCAGUUAUUCAGCAAACUGGUCAUCCCACAGACAGUUCUGCCUGCUGCCCUGCUGCUCUGUGUGAAGCUCAUAUCCCCAGCCUCUCACUGUCUGGAACCUGAGGAAAAUGUCUUUUACACACUCUGGGAAGACACUCCAUGCUUUGUUUUCCCUCCCAAAAAGGUAAUAUGCCUUCACUCCAUCAUAUCCUUGCUAGGAGCUCAAGCUGUGCCUCAGCACUUUUUCACAGAGAACUCUCACCUUGAUUGCUUCAUGUUAAUUCAACAAUUUAGGGCUUUGCUUAUUUUAAUAGUUCAGACUAACAACACUGAUCUCUUCUAUGCUGUAAAGCAGAAAUAGAGUUUCCAGUUUCUGUGGGCACUGGUCAAUGCUCUGUGCAGAAUAUCCCUGUGUGGAAAAGCUGCUGAAGGCUUUUCCCUGGAAUAGAACCACCUCACUCCCAGCUCCUACAGCUCUCAUUUCAUGCAGAUGUAACUGCAGGGGUACUGAGAUAAUGGUUUCUGGCUUGUUCCAAGGUGCUGGGAAAACCCAGCCUUUCAGUCUGAAAUUAGASAAAGGGAAGAUCUCUCUCUGGAUACCUUCAGCUGCCAUCAGCAGGACAUAAACUCGGCUGUGCUUUUGAUGCUGGAUGGGAGAAGAUGUGCUCUGAGGGGAUUUGGGAGGACACUGUGGACCCCAAAGUGGGAGACAAAACAAUCCCUCUCUGAGCCUGAAUCCAAGGGCACCUCGCUGCCUCAGAGCCCCAAAAUAUGGAAACAACAGAGAAUUGGGGGGGGGAAGCAAGUUUGGGGUGGUUGACAUCAUCACCUGAAGAUUAUUGGAGAAUUGAGGCCCAGUAUGUUAAUAGGACAGAACUUAUAAAAGGAGCUUUAGAAGGCACCUGCAGUGAACUAGAAGAGGAUAUGCCUUAAAAUAUGUGUGAGGCUGUUCCAUGARCCCCUGUUGUAACGUCUUGGGUAACUUCUAAGAACCUGAUCUGUGUGAUGGUGCUGCAUUUGCACUGCUGUGGUAGGACCAAACCUUGUUCAUCAGGAGAUGUGAAGAGGUUUGGAAGGAGCUCCAGGAACAUUUGGAGCAUCCAGAACACACAGAUUCAGGUGAAGAAUGGUGGUGCUUACAGUCUCAUGGAUCAAAAUGUCACUGGUGAGGCAGAAAUGCCACACUUAUGGUUUGUUUGUGUGGUUUGAUAUUCAUGUUUGAAGGAARGCUAAUUCCAUUUGAGCUUUGCACAAGCCCACAAAGGCUUUAGGGAGGUGUUUAUGGUCCCCCCGGGGGUGAGCCAGCCCAGCCUGUCUCUGUCACAGCUUUAUCUGUGCUUUCCCUCAGAUGCUCCAUCAAUAAAAACAUAGGAACCCUUCCUUUGCUGCAGUGUGGGUGUCCUGAGUCAGCUCUCCCUGUGGGUGCCUGCCUGUGAYGUUUUCUUACCCUCACAGCAUU